rnacentral:lncRNA from 1 species
ACAGGUUCUCACACACCUCCAUCACAUUCAGGAGGUGGCCAUGGAACACCGUCGCAUGGAAGCGGUAGCCACGGAGGAACACCACCUGCGAACUGUGGUAACCCCGCCCCUAGUGGCGGGCAUCACCACAACCCUACUCCAUCGCCUCCUUCAGGAGGCCAUGGAGGUGGUGGUUACUAUCCCUCCCCUCCAUCUCAUGGUGGAAGCCCUCCAAGUACUCCUAGUACCCCCAGUACACCAUCCACCCCCUCCACACCUACUAUUGUAACCCCACCUACACCUCCUACAAUAGACCCUGGCACUCCAAGUACUCCAGGGGGUGGUUACUAUGGUGGAAGUCCUCCAAGUAUUCCUACCCCUAGUAUUACACCCCCUACCCCUUCUACACCUAUCAUUGAAACACCACCAACUACUCCAGUCGUUGAAACACCACCAACUACUCCUACCAUUGAUCCAGGUACUCCAAGUGCUCCAGGGGUCUUUCCAAUUGACCCCAACUCACCACCUUUUACAUGCGAGUAAGUCAAAUGAAAAUUAUUCUUUGUUUCAUUUUAUAUGGCAGCAUUUGACUAGACAUACAAUUUAAGAAAGAGAAUUUUUUAACGUAUAUCUAAAGUACCUAAUGAGAACUUGUAAUCUUAAACAUAUCAUGACAUUUAUACAAUUAUACCAGCAU